CCCGCACAAGCGGCGGAGCAUGCGAUUAAUCGAUGCAACGCGAAGAACCUUACAAGGCUUGACAUACACCGGUAACGCCCAGAGAUGGGUGCCCCUUUGUGGUCGGUGUACAGGUGGUGCAUGGUUGUCGUCAGCUCGUGUCGUGAGAUGUUGGGUUAAGUCCCGCAACGAGCGCAACCCUCGUCCUAUGUUGCCAGCGGGUCAUGCCGGGGACUCAUGGGAGACUGCCGGGGUCAACUCGGAGGAAGGUGGGAUGACGUCAAAUCAUCAUGCCCCUUAUGUCUUGGGCUUCACGCAUGCUACAAUGGCCGGUACAAAGGGCUGCGAUACCGCGAGGUGGAGCGAAUCCCAGAAAGCCGGUCUCAGUUCGGAUUGGGGUCUGCAACUCGACCCCAUGAAGUCGGAGUCGCUAGUAAUCGCAGAUCAGCAACGCUGCGGUGAAUACGUUCCCGGGCCUU
rnacentral:rRNA from 1 species